CAGAGUAGGAGGGUGGCCGCUUAAACGCACCUGCGGUGCAAGUGAAAAGUGAUCAGUGAAGAGUUUUUAACUAACAACUGGUCAUUGAUACUUAAUCACUUUGAGGCGUAGCCUCGGUUUGGGAGGAAAGUCCGAGCUCCAUAGGGCAAGGCGCUCCGUAACACGGAGUGGGGGCAACCCCAAGGAAAGUGCCACAGAAAGGGAAACCGCCCCGCACUUUCUUGAAAGUGCGGGGUAAGGGUGAAAAGGUGAGGUAAGAGCUCACCAGUUGAGAUGGCAACAUCUCAAGCUUGGAAAACCCCGCCUGGAGCAAGGUCGAAUAGGUUCCGUUUUGAGAGGGGCCCCUUCAAAUCUCCACCUGCCUGAUGCGGAUCGGAGAGACGGAACGGGUUGUAACCGCAAGAGUCUGGUGCUAACACGAGACCUUAGAGGAAUGGUCACGGAAACAGAACUCGGCUUAUUACCUGCUCUGGCGA
rnacentral:RNase_P_RNA from 1 species